GACGAACGCUGGCGGCGUGCUUAACACAUGCAAGUCGAACGGUGAAGGGGCCUGCUUUUGUGGGCUCUGGAUGAGUGGCGAACGGGUGAGUAACACGUGAGUAACCUGCCCCCUUCUUCUGGAUAACCGCAUGAAAGUGUGGCUAAUACGGGAUAUUCUGGGUCUUUCGCAUGAUGGGUCUGGGAAAGAUUGCGCCUUUGGGUGAUCUUUGUGGGGGAUGGGCUCGCGGCCUAUCAGCUUGUUGGUGGGGGGAUGGCCUACCAAGGCGGUGACGGGUAGCCGGCCUGAGAGCGGGGACGGUGACACUGGGACUGAGCCACGGCCCAGACUCCUACGAGCGGUAGCAGUGGGGCAUAUAGCACGAUGGGCGCAAGCCUGCUGCAGCGACGCCGCGUGAGGGAUGGACGCCUUCGGGUUGUAAACCUCUUUCGCCAGUGAAGCAGGCCUGCUACUUGUGGGUGGGUUGACGGUAGCUGGAUAAGAAGCGCCGGCUAACUACGUG
rnacentral:rRNA from 1 species